CCUACGGGUGGCAGCAGUCGAGAAUCAUUCACAAUGGGGGAAACCCUGAUGGAGCGACGCCGCGUGGGGGAAUGAAGGUCUUCGGAUUGUAAACCCCUGUCAUGGGGGAGCAAAUUAAAAAGAUAGUACCACAAGAGGAAGAGACGGCUAACUCUGGGCCAGCAGCCGCGGUAAUACAGAGGUGUCAAGGGUUGUUCGGAAUCACUGGGCCUAAAGGGUUCGUAGGCUGGUUCGUAAAUCGUGUGGGAAAUGCGCGGGCUCAACCCGCGGACGGCACAUGAUACUGGGAGACUAGAGUAAUGGAGGGGGAAGCGGAAUUCUAGGUGUAGCAGUGAAAUGCGUAGAUAUCGAGAAGAACACUCGUGGCGAAGGCGGGUUCCUGGACAUUAACUGACGCUGAGGCACGAAGGCCAGGGGAGCGAAAGGGAUUAGAUACCCGAGUAGUC
rnacentral:rRNA from 1 species